rnacentral:tRNA from 1 species
GGAGGAGUGGCGGAGCGGUUGAACGCACCGGUCUUGAAAACCGGCAGGCCCGCGAGGGUCUCGGGGGUUCGAAUCCCCCCUCCUCCG